rnacentral:rRNA from 1 species
UUGCUGAACGCCUCUAAGUCAGAAUCUGUGCUAGAAACGAUGAUGUUGGUCCCGCACAUGUUAGACGUGUUACAAUAGAGCUUUGCUCGUGAACCAUACCUGGCAGUCCUGGCCCGGCGAGCGGAAAUGCUUGUUGGGUCUUCUGCGAAUCGAAAUUUCAAUAUGGGCGGGGGUGAAUCCUUUGCAGACGACUUAAAU